CGUAGGAAGCGGGGGGGACGGGGGGGACAUGUCCCCCACAAUAUUGAAGCCAGGUGGAUAUGUCCCCCCCAAAAAAUUGUACCGCAAAAUAUUGGAUUUUGACAUUUUUUUAACUAGCGUGCUUUUAUUUUGAAGGCGCAGCAUCGCGUUACGUCACGGUACUCCCCCUCCCCUCUCUGAACUGCUGAGUGAGCACUUAGAAGGGAGGGAAACAGCGACACAGAAGUCAGAAACUUGCGAAUGAGUACAAUGCCACCACCAACUAAAAGGCUGAAACAGCAGCAGGACUUACUCAGCUUUUUUAAAAAGAGUAACGUCAGUGAGCAACAAUGCAGGGACAGCACAAAGGAGACAGGAAAAGGAGAGGAUAGUGCAACCGGGCUAGAGGCAGGAAGUCAGAGUGAGGGAGAGACAGGAGUGGAG